GCGCUCGUGGCCAAAUUGGAUUAAGGCAUCCCGCUUCUAACGGGACGAUUGAUGGGUUCGAGUCCCUCCGGGCGUGCCA
rnacentral:tRNA from 1 species